GGGGCCGGGAGAGCGGCGCGGGGCCGGAGGAGCUGCGGUGCGGUGCGCGGGGCUGGCGGAGGCCAGAGCAUAGCUGUGGACCUGUGGCUUCUCUUUCUGUGAGCUCUGACAGAG